AAGAAGAUGCCUGAAUUUCUCACCCGGAAAAUUAGGACUGGAAAAAAUACUCUAUGUCCAAGUGAUAGUCACGUAAAAACUGCGUAGGUAUUACAUGAAAGUAGAUAAGGAAAAUAGCUUUAUUGGUAUUGCUUUGUGAAUUCUUUUUCAGGAAUGAUAUAUCCUUGGUGCUGUUUCAGCUAUUUAAAGUAAUACUGUCACUCCUCGUAAUUACUGCUGGCCUUAUAUUUAUUAUCAGUAUAGAUAUACUUCUUGGAUAAUCCUUAACCGUUUGUAUUUUUGGCAUGUCUCUUUGUGGCGGUUGUGAGUGCAUUGGCCUAAUCUGGUAUAAAGGGAGAAGGAAACACACUGGAGGAGGAUACUCCUGAUCUGCACCACAAUUCACUGCAAAGUUCUGCUCCAAGGAGUUUGGGGCAAAGACUGUACAAGCCAAGUGACUUGCGUCUGUGAGAUCAGCUGCCAAGAUUUGUAUUCACUUAAGGGGUUUUGCCAUGUAGCAAAUCCAAAGUUGGCAACCGGACAACAGCAACAACAAAAGCCACUUCCAUAGUGUUUGUCAUCACCUCAGAGCGAUUUUCUUCAGCGCUGAGAUGCUACUAUCAUAUUCCCAAUGUAAAUGGCAAGAAGCUGUUAAGUUUUCUUGAUGAAAAAUGUUGGAACGCUUUAGAAAGCAAGUUACUUCACCAUACAGUGUAACUAUAGUUGGGAAAUACGUUUUUUGCUCUGAAAUGCUUUGAGAAAGCUGUUCUGGAUUUCUUUUCUCUCUCAGGUCCUGAAGAACUACUCUGUGUGGCUACUGCUGCCAGCUACAAAAGGCAGACUUCAGUCCCAGCUGGAAUUACCAUACAGUACAGACCCUGCAGUACAGCCUAACGAUGGCUGAUGCUUUGGAUCACUUUCCCAGAGUUCAAGCUUGCUGUUGCAGAAUUUACCUUCCUAAAGCCAAGCUGAAAGGGGCAGAAAGCAGUACCAGUGCUGGUGAAGGAACUGUGAAUUUGGGGCAGAAGGUCCCAGAGGGCUGAUCACACAGUUUCCUGGUGAGCAGGAGCAGGCAGAAGUGAAGGAAGAGGAGAAGAUGAAAAUAUGCCAAAGAAAGAAGUGUCUUAACAUGUUCCCCCCAAAGAACAGUGUAAGUAUUUUCUUCACCAGAACACUCACUACCUCAGUCAGCUGUCUACUGAUGGGCAUACCUUCCUGUGUGCUAAAGAGAAAGGGAGAGGCAGAAUGGUUAAAGCCAAAGCAGUGUCUUAGCUUGGGCUGCAACUCUGCUCGCUUUGCAGCACAUCAUCAGCUUCACUCAAAUGGAACAGUCCUUCCCUGACCUAACCACAAUCUGCCCAAGGUCCCCAAAUUAUUCCCACAAGUUAUACUACAACAGCUAUGACUUGCUGGGAAAGAAUCCUACAGCAGCUAAGCACAAGGAAACGUGAUUUUGCUCUUGGACAUACAGGAAAUGCAGAAGCCAAAAGGUGGGUGGGUCUUUGCUUUGGGAACAGGAAUAUUUGAGCCAUGUAGACAGACCUGGGUACCAGUUAUUUAGGUUGUAUAAACAUAAAAUAGCUUUGUGCAGACUUGCUCAGUCACAGUAGAUUCUACUUUCUAGCUGCAUUCAUAAAGAAAACAUGGUUUUUCACUGUCUGCAAAUCAGUCCAUUGAUGUUUAACAAGUAUGCAUUUAAUUUGAUGCUUACAGUGAGCUACCAGGACUAAGCAUUUAAUUUGCAUUUGAAUUCUUUUAUACUUGACAUGCAUCUGAUUUAAUCUUAAUUUUUAUAUCUUAUUAUAUAUAUAUAAAUAUCUUAAUUUUUAUAUUUUAUGUUGUGAAAAUAGAGUGAUUUUUCUGUGUUUCUCAUACUAGUUUUAUUCUUUUGGCCAGAAAUUGGAAAGAAAUAUUUUUUAUUAUUUUUAUUAGCUGAUGAAGCAGUUGAAAUAUGCUGAGUUUUUGUUGUUUUUUUAAUUAAAACAUAGCAUUUUGAAAUGGAGUUGAUAUAGAAAAUAAAGCGUGCGAUUAAUAGAACUGUUUGCUUCUGGUCCCUCUGGGUAUAUGUAAACCUUUGUGAACUGUACAAGGAGCCUGGCUAACCUCAUUCCCUGGUAACUCAGACUGUUCUGCUUGCGCAGCCAGGGAAAAUCACAGGGUUGCUAGACCUGGG
ensembl:lncRNA